GUGCCAGCAGCCGCGGUAAUACGUAGGUGGCGAGCGUUGUUCGGAAUCACUGGGCAUAAAGCGCGCGUAGGCGGCCAUGUAAGUCGGGUGUGAAAGCCCUCGGCUCAACCGAGGAACUGCGCUCGAUACUGCAUGGCUUGAGGUCCGGAGGGGAGAGUGGAAUUCCCGGUGGAGCGGUGAAAUGCGUAGAGAUCGGGAAGAACGCCGGCGGCGAAAGCGACUCUCUGGUCGGACCCUGACGCUGAGGCGCGAAAGCUAGGGGAGCAAACGGGAUUAGAAACCCCCGUAGUCC
rnacentral:rRNA from 1 species